rnacentral:rRNA from 1 species
GACGAACGCUGGCGGCGUGCUUAACACAUGCAAGUCGAACGGAAAGGCCCUGCUUUUGUGGGGUGCUCGAGUGGCGAACGGGUGAGUAACACGUGAGUAACCAGCCCUUGGCUUUGGGAUAACUUCAGGAAACUGGGGCUAAUACCGGAUAGGAGCUCCUGCUGCAUGGUGGGGGUUGGAAAGUUUCGGCGGUUGGGGAUGGACUCGCGGCUUAUCAGCUUGUUGGUGGGGUAGUGGCUUACCAAGGCUUUGACGGGUAGCCGGCCUGAGAGGGUGACCGGCCACAUUGGGACUGAGAUACGGCCCAGACUCCUACGGGAGGCAGCAGUGGGGAAUAUUGCACAAUGGGCGGAAGCCUGAUGCAGCAACGCCGCGUGCGGGAUGACGGCCUUCGGGUUGUAAACCGCUUUCGCCUGUGACGAAGCGUGAGUGACGGUAAUGGGUAAAGAAGCACCGGCUAACUACGUG